AUUGAACGCUGGCGGCAGGCCUAACACAUGCAAGUCGAGCGAGCGGCGGACGGGUGAGUAAUGUAUGGGGACUGCCCGGUAGCGGGGGAUAACUACUGGACACGGUGGCUAAUACCGCAUACUAUCGGAUAACCCAUAUGGGAUUAGCUAGUAGGUGGGGUAAAGGCUCACCUAGGCGACGAUCUAUAGCUGGUCUGAGAGGAUGAUAAGACACACUGGGACUGUGAGACGGCGAAGCCGCCCAGGGAGGAAGAAGGGGGGAAGAGGGCAAAAUGGGAGCAAGCCUGAGGAAGCGAUGCCGCGGGUAUGAAGAAGGGCUGAGGGUUGUAAAGUAGUAUCAGCGGUGAGGGGGUAGGCGGAGAAGAAGCACCGGCUAACUACGUGCCAGCAGCCGCGGUAAUAC
rnacentral:rRNA from 1 species